rnacentral:lncRNA from 1 species
AGUAGAGAUGGGGUUUCGCCAUGUUAUCCAGGCUGGUCUCGAACUCCUGAUCUCAGGUGAUCCAUCCACCUUGGCCUCCCAAAGUGCUGGGAUUACAGGCGUGAGCCACCAUGCCCGGCCUGCACAAUAUACUAGGCAAGUUUUGAAAAAGUUUAAUGGGGAAGUUUAGUCCAAAGCUAUGGCGAUCCAAACAAUGUGGUACCAGUGCUAGAAUGUGCAGGAAGAUCACAACCCAUAAUAAAGAGUUCACAGCACACUCAAGGCCAGGGUGCUUAUCCUGGCACCCAACAGAAGGGCUACUAGGUGUAUGGCAAAAAUGGGAUUUCAUAUAGAAUAAAGGACAGACUUCCCAAUAAACAGUGUUGGGGUAAUUUAGAAAAUACAUUCCAGAUAGAUCAGAGGUUUUUAAAAUUUUUUUUAGAGACAGGGUCUUGCUCUGUUCCCCAGGCUGGAGUGCACCGGUGCCAUCAAAGCUCACUGUAACCUCAAAUGCCUGGACUCAAGUGAUCCUUCCACCUUGGCGACCCAAAGUGUUGGGAUUACAGGCAAGAGCCAACACGCCCAGCCAGAUCACAGAUUUAACUGUUUAGAAAGAAAUAAUAAAGUUUAUGAAAUAAACCUCUUAGAAAUCAAUGAUACUGCUGAACACCUUAAAGGGUUACAUUUUAACCAAAAAAAUAUUUUUUUUAGCUCUCUGUCCCCAGGGUAACUCCAGUGUUAAAGAGGAAGCAGUACACACUCACACACUGUGGGUGGGAGUAUAAUUGGGUCUGUCUUUCUGGAAGGCAAUUUGAGGCAAUACAUAUUACAAGUCCUAAAAAUGUGCAUUCUUUUUUAUUGUUGCAACAGGAUAUGUUAUGCUGCAGUUAACCAAUUAACCCUGAAACCCCAGUGUUUAACACCUAAGGUUUAUUUUUUUUAUUCAUGCUACCCGUCCAUGCAGGGUGGCAGGUGAGGGUAACAUGAAGGGAGAAGGGGGCUGCUCCACGUAGUCACUCAGGGAUCCAGGCUUGACAGAGGCUCUGUCCCUGGGACAUCAGCAUUUGCUGAGGGAAGGGAAGGCAGACACUGCGGAACUGCUCAUGGGCAUUUCAGUGUCUGUCUGGAGCUUCAUGUGUCACCUGUGCUCACAUUUCAUUGGCCAGAAUUAGUCAUAGGACCCUGAAUGAGUACAAGGGGGAUGGAGGGUGAAGUCCUGUAUGCCUCAGAAGGAAAGGAGCCGCAGAUAGGGAGGCGCGUACUUUUGAGCCAGUGAUAACUUCAGAAAAUUACCCUAAGUCAAUAUUCUGAAAAGUUCGCAAGGAUGUUAGAAGAACUUCAUUAUGUCCUUGACUACAACAGUAAAAAAAUUGGAAACAACCUAAGUAUCCAAGGUACAACCUACAUAGAGGUUAAAAAUAAUGUAAUUACAUAUUUACUGAUAUAGAAAUCUAUUCACAAUAUAGCAUUAAAAGGGAUAAAAGUUAUAAAACAGUAUGUAUAAUAUGAUUAUAUUUCAUGGAAAAAGUAAUAAAACACACACAGAUGCAUAGAAAAAAGUCUGAAAAGAUAAAAACUGAAAUGUUAACAGUGGUUAUAAUCAGAUAGUGUAAUAACAGGUGAUUGGUUUUUUUCCCACUCAUCUGGAAUUUCUUUAAAAAAAGUAUUAUAUUAUUUAUGUACCAAGAAAGCAUUUAAAAAGGGAAACAAAAAACAGUACUCUUGGGAGAGUUCACUUAUCCACUCCACUCUUCUCAUUAAACUCUUAUAUUUGAUGCAAGGAAUGUCUUCUUGCCUGUCACAUCAUAAGACGCUGCUCUCACAACUGACGUAAAGUCGGGACUUCCUAUUAAAAGCAGUACAAGAGGGUAAAAACAAUAGCACAGCCUCACAGCUGUGAAUCAUCAGUCCUGCCCAUCACUCGCCAAAACAUGCACCACUUGGGACUCUGCCGUGGUUUACGGGCUCCUGCCAGGUGCCCUGGGGGUCUCUAGGGCCCAGGAGAACACUUUGCCGCAAGGCUCUGCACCGUCAAAGAGAGUAGGGCACUGAACAAUUCCACUUCAAACAAAAGAUCCACAAACUUCUGGUAAAUGGAUUCCAGAACAUAGAUCACCACCACCAGAAAUAGAAAAUAAAGUCUCCUCUUAGGUAUACAUAUUUUUAAUUAAAAACGCUUCCUUACUGUUUCUCCCACUUCCCCUUUUGCUGUUUCUUCACACACACACACACACACACACACACACACACACACACACACGCGUGCGCACAUACACAGUCGUAAGUUCACUAGAACAUUUCAUCCAGCUCAAAAUUCUUACCAAAGCCACCUUCCUGCCUGGGUAGUGUUUAAAGCCAACUAGAAAACCCAUAUUCUUGAGAUCGGUACAUGGAAGAGGCAUGUAAGUAACAUUUUCUAGACUAGACAGGAGUCCCUCUCCAUGCCAAAACCCCCAUCAUCUCCAGAAUAUAUACUGUUUCUUUGGGGAAGCCAUGUACUCAGAAAUUAGGGUCCUUUUAAAGCAUGCAUAUCUUUAAAAAUAUACAUGGACAUUGAUCUUGCAAGCUUCUAGUUUGCAAGUGCUUCAAAAUCUAGUGAUGUCUCAAGGCAAUGAAAGAAUUUAGCUUCUAGAAGGAUG